GGGCCCGCACAAGCGGUGGAGCAUGUGGUUUAAUUCGAUGAUACGCGAGGAAUCUUACCAGGGCUUAAAUGCAGAACGACCGGCGUGGAAACAUGCCUUUCUUCGGACGGACUGCAAGGUGCUGCAUGGUCGUCGUCAGCUCGUGCCGUGAGGUGUCGGGUUAAGUCCCAUAACGAGCGCAACCCCUAUCUUUAGUUGCCAGCGGAUAAUGCCGGGGACUCUAGAGAAACUGCCAGCGUAAGCUGUGAGGAAGGUGGGGAUGACGUCAGAUCAUCACGGCCCUUACGUCCUGGGCUACACACGUGCUACAAUGGCAAGGACAAUGAGCUGCCAACCCGCGAGGGUGAGCAAAUCUUCAAACCUUGUCUCAGUUCGGAUCGGAGUCUGCAACUCGACUCCGUGAAGUUGGAAUCGCUAGUAAUCGCGUAUC
rnacentral:rRNA from 1 species